rnacentral:misc_RNA from 1 species
CGCCUGGUGUAUAGUGGCUAUAGCAUAGUCCCGGAGGCGAAAGCGAGACCGUGGGCCCGAGCAAGACGGAAAGAGAAACGGGACCGAGAGAGAAAAGGCAGCCCGGGCACUCGGCUUUCGUUUUCACCCAGCCUACUUGUUAAUCCGCCUUCUCCGCUUCGCUAUACCCGUCGCGAGAACCGUUUCCUCUCGUGUGCGCCGUGCACGGUCACGCUUCCAUCGACGAGCCGAGACUCGAUCGAUGCCACCUCGAAGGGACGCAACCUGUUACGACACAUGACGAAGUGGACCCUUGUCGUCUCAACCAUACCAACGAAGUUUCGUCUCG